rnacentral:snRNA from 1 species
UACUCCUUCUAGCUCUAGAGAGC